UACGUAGGCAGCGAGCGUUGUUCGGAGUUACUGGGCGUAAAGAGUGCGUAGGCGGUUUUCUAAGUUUGGUGUGAAAUCUCCCGGCUUAACUGGGAGGGUGCGCCGAAGACUGGAAGGCUUGAGUAUGGGAGAGGUAAGCGGAAUUCCUGGUGUAGCGGUGAAAUGCGUAGAUAUCAGGAGGAACACCGAUUGCGAAGGCAGCUCGCUGGAACGUUACUGACGCUGAGACGCGAAAGCGUGGGGAGCAAACAGG
rnacentral:rRNA from 1 species